rnacentral:rRNA from 1 species
UACGUAGGGUCCGAGCGUUGUCCGGAAUUACUGGGCGUAAAGAGCUCGUAGGUGGUUUGUCGCGUUGUUCGUGAAAACUCACAGCUCAACUGUGGGCGUGCGGGCGAUACGGGCAGACUGGAGUACUGCAGGGGAGACUGGAAUUCCUGGUGUAGCGGUGGAAAUGCGCAGAUAUCAGGAGGGAACACCGGUGGCGAAGGCGGGUCUCUGGGCCAGUAACUGACGC